GGAUUACCUCAGUAACGGCGAGUGAAGCGGUAACAGCUCAAAUUUGAAAUCUGGCAGCAAUGUCCGAGUUGUAAUUUGUAGAGGAUGUUUCGAGCAUGGUCUGGCCUAAGUUCCUUGGAACAGGACGUCAUAGAGGGUGAGAAUCCCGUAUGCGGUCAGGUGCCUACGCUCAUGUGAAACUCCUUCGACGAGUCGAGUUGUUUGGGAAUGCAGCUCAAAAUGGGUGGUAAAUUUCAUCUAAAGCUAAAUAUUGGCCAGAGACCGAUAGCGCACAAGUAGAGUGAUCGAAAGAUGAAAAGCACUUUGGAAAGAGAGUUAAACAGUACGUGAAAUUGUUGAAAGGGAAGCGCUUGCAACCAGACUUGCACGCAGCUGAUCAUCCGCUGUUCUCAGUGGUGCACUCGGUUGCGUUCAGGCCAGCAUCGGUUUUGGUGGUGGGAUAAAGGCCUUAGGAAUGUAGCUGCUUUCGGGCAGUGUUAUAGCCUAGGGUGCAAUGCCGCCUACUGGGACCGAGGACCGCGCUUCGGCUAGGAUGCUGGCGUAAUGGUUGUAAGCGACCCGUCUUGAAACACGGACCAAGGAGUCUAACAUCUAUGCGAGUGUUUGGGUGUCAAACCCAUACGCGUAAUGAAAGUGAACGGAGGUCAGAACCCUUAAGGGUGCAUGAUCGACCGGUCCUGAAGUCUUCGGAUGGAUCUGAGUAAGAGCAUAGCUGUUGGGACCCGAAAGAUGGUGAACUAUGCCUGAAUAGGGUGAAGCCAGAGGAAACUCUGGUGGAGGCUCGCAGCGGGUUCUGACGUGCAAAUCGAUCGUCAAAUUUGGGUAUAGGGGCGAAAGACUAAUCGAACCAUCUAGUAG
rnacentral:rRNA from 1 species